rnacentral:rRNA from 1 species
UACGUAGGUGGCAAGCGUUGUCCGGAAUUAUUUGGGGCGUAAAAGCGCGCGCAGGUGGUUUUCUUAAGUCUGAUGUGAAAGCCCACGGCUCAACCGUGGAGGGUCAUUGGAAACUGGGGAACUUGAGUGCAGAAGAGGAAAGUUGGAAUUCCAAGUGUAGCGGUGAAAUGCGUAGAGAUGAUGGAGGAACACCAAUGGCGAAGGCAGCCUUCUGGGCCAACACUGACGCUCAUGCACGAAAGCGUGGGGAGCAAACAGG